AAAAAGCUCGUAGUUGAAUUUCGGGAUCAAUAUGUCGGUCGUGCCUUCGGUACGUACUGGUAUCAUUGGUUUCUCCCUUCUGACAAAUCAUGAUGUCAUUAAUUUGGUGUUAUGGGGAGUUAGGACUGUUACUUUGAAAAAAUUAGAGUGUUUAAAGCAGGCAUUAGCUUGAAUACAUUAGCAUGGAAUAAUGAAAUAGGACGUUUGAUCCUAUUUUGUUGGUUUCUAGGAUUGACGUAAUGAUUAAUAGGGAUAGUUGGGGGCAUUAGUAUUCAAUUGCCAGAGGUGAAAUUCUUGGAUUUAUUGAAGACUAACUACUGCGAAAGCAUUUGCCAAGGAUGUUUUCAUUAAUCAAGAACGAAAGUUAGGGGAUCGAAGACGAUCAGAUACCGUCGUAGUCUUAACCAUAAACUAUGCCGACUAGGGAUCGGAUGAUGUUAAUUUUUUAAUGACUCAUUCGGCGC
rnacentral:rRNA from 1 species